UGAAAUAAAAAAAAUCAGUGAAAAUAUUGGUGAAGGAGGUGGUGAAGAUGAUGAUUAUGAAGAAGAAAAUGACACUGCUGAAAGAAGUCAAGAGGAAGAGGAUAAUAAAUCUCACUCAGAAGAGGAUGAGAUGAGAGAAGCAGAUGAAAGCACUGGGUCUGUUGAUGGACCUGCAAAAUCAGUACGUAAACGAAGAGUUCGAAAAGACUAACACACUUCCAUCUAGUAUUAUUUAUGUUUCUAGUUACAGAAUCCAGUCAUACUGUUUUAACACUGGCACAGGGAUGGAGAUUAUUAACUCUUAAACAAAGACUGAACUCAAGUUUGGAUUUUAAGUCCUAUUUUCCAGACCCUCUUUAUUUUGUCAGGUUUUUCAUUUUUGUUUUGAAGAAACAUUUCUACUUUUUAAGUUAUCUGGUUCUUUACUUCAUA